rnacentral:tRNA from 1 species
GGGUCCGUGGUCUAGUUGGUUAUGACGCGGCCCUUACAAGGCCGAGAUCGGUGGUUCGACUCCGCCCGGACCCA